ACUUUCAACAACGGAUCUCUUGGCUCUGGCAUCGAUGAAGAACGCAGCGAAAUGCGAUAAGUAAUGUGAAUUGCAGAAUUCAGUGAAUCAUCGAAUCUUUGAACGCACAUUGCGCCCGCCAGUAUUCUGGCGGGCAUGCCUGUUCGAGCGUCAUUACC
rnacentral:rRNA from 1 species